AAUAUUGUGGGAUUUUAGUGCUGUUUUUGUCAAAGUUCUUAUUUUCAGAUUUUUAAAGGUUUGAAUGAAGUUAUAUGACAAAUAUUGAAGUUUAUGUAUUUGACUAAAUUCGGUAUAGGGGUUGUCUACGAAUAAGGUAGUGAUGUUAAGGAAGUGCAAGUGAUUUAAUAAAUUUUAUAAUGAAUGGUAAUUAGUUGAUAAAUUGUUAGAGAGAAGAAAAUUUGGGGAAUUCAUUCAAGUAUCGAGAAAUGGAGAUUCAAGAGAAAAUUUGAAAGUUGAGGAAUUAAGUGGUGACUUUGCAUUAGUUUAGUUGUCAUAUUUUAAUUUGAG
rnacentral:lncRNA from 1 species